GAUGAACGCUGGCGGCGUGCCUAAUACAUGCAAGUCGAGCGAACGGACGAGAAGCUUGCUUUUCUGAUGUUAGCGGCGGACGGGUGAGUAACACGUGGAUAACCUACCUAUAAGACUGGGAUAACUUCGGGAAACCGGAGCUAAUACCGGAUAAUAUUUUGAACCGCAUGGUUCAAAAGUGAAAGACGGUCUUGCUGUCACUUAUAGAUGGAUCCGCGCUGCAUUAGCUAGUUGGUAAGGUAACGGCUUACCAAGGCAACGAUGCAUAGCCGACCUGAGAGGGUGAUCGGCCACACUGGAACUGAGACACGGUCCAGACUCCUACGGGAGGCAGCAGUAGGGAAUCUUCCGCAAUGGGCGAAAGCCUGACGGAGCAACGCCGCGUGAGUGAUGAAGGUCUUCGGAUCGUAAAACUCUGUUAUUAGGGAAGGACAUAUGUGUAAGUAACUGUGCACAUCUUGACGGUACCUAAUCAGAAAGCCACGGCUAACUACGUGCCAGCAGCCGCGGUAAUACGUAGGUGGCAAGCGUUAUCCGGAAUUAUUGGGCGUAAAGCGCGCGUAGGCGGUUUUUUAAGUCUGAUGUGAAAGCCCACGGCUCAACCGUGGAGGGUCAUUGGAAACUGGAAAACUUGAGUGCAGAAGAGGAAAGUGGAAUUCCAUGUGUAGCGGUGAAAUGCGCAGAGAUGUGGAGGAACACCAGUGGCGAAGGCGACUUUCUGGUCUGUAACUGACGCUGAUGUGCGAAAGCGUGGGGAUCAAACAGGAUUAGAUACCCUGGUAGUCCACGCCGUAAACGAUGAGUGCUAAGUGUUAGGGGGUUUCCGCCCCUUAGUGCUGCAGCUAACGCAUUAAGCACUCCGCCUGGGGAGUACGACCGCAAGGUUGAAACUCAAAGGAAUUGACGGGGGCCCGCACAAGCGGUGGAGCAUGUGGUUUAAUUCGAAGCAACGCGAAGAACCUUACCAAAUCUUGACAUCCUUUGACAACUCUAGAGAUAGAGCCUUCCCCUUCGGGGGACAAAGUGACAGGUGGUGCAUGGUUGUCGUCAGCUCGUGUCGUGAGAUGUUGGGUUAAGUCCCGCAACGAGCGCAACCCUUAAGCUUAGUUGCCAUCAUUAAGUUGGGCACUCUAAGUUGACUGCCGGUGACAAACCGGAGGAAGGUGGGGAUGACGUCAAAUCAUCAUGCCCCUUAUGAUUUGGGCUACACACGUGCUACAAUGGACAAUACAAAGGGCAGCGAAACCGCGAGGUCAAGCAAAUCCCAUAAAGUUGUUCUCAGUUCGGAUUGUAGUCUGCAACUCGACUACAUGAAGCUGGAAUCGCUAGUAAUCGUAGAUCAGCAUGCUACGGUGAAUACGUUCCCGGGUCU
rnacentral:rRNA from 1 species